rnacentral:rRNA from 1 species
GACGAACGCUGGCGGCGUGCUCAACACAUGCAAGUCGAACGAUGAACCCGGAGCUUGCUCCGGUGGAUUAGUGGCGAACGGGUGAGUAACACGUGAGUAACCUGCCCUUGACUCUGGGAUAACUGCGGGAAACUGUAGCUAAUACCGGAUACGACCCUCGGCGGCAUCGCCAGGGGGUGGAAAGAAUUUUGGUCAAGGAUGGACUCGCGGCCUAUCAGCUAGUUGGUGAGGUAACGGCUCAACAAGGCGACGACGGGUAGCCGGCCUGAGAGGGUGACCGGCCGCACUGGGACUGAGACACGGCCCAGACUCCUACGGGAGGCAGCAGUGGGGAAUAUUGCACAAUGGGCGCAAGCCUGAUGCAGCAACGCCGCGUGAGGGAUGACGGCCUUCGGGUUGUAAACCUCUUUUAGUAGGGAAGAAGCGAAAGUGACGGUACCUGCAGAAAAAGCACCGGCUAACUACGUGCCAGCCGCCGCCGUAA